rnacentral:rRNA from 1 species
AGUUUGAUCCUGGCUCAGAACGAACGCUGGCGGCAGGCUUAACACAUGCAAGUCGAACGCAUCGCAAGAUGAGUGGCAGACGGGUGAGUAACGCGUGGGAAUCUACCGUGCCCUGCGGAAUAGCUCCGGGAAACUGGAAUUAAUACCGCAUACGCCCUACGGGGGAAAGAUUUAUCGGGGUAUGAUGAGCCCGCGUUGGAUUAGCUAGUUGGUGGGGUAAAGGCCUACCAAGCCGACGAUCCAUAGCUGGUCUGAGAGGAUGAUCAGCCACAUUGGGACUGAGACACGGCCCAAACUCCUACGGGAGGCAGCAGCGGGGAAUAUUGGACAAUGGGCGCAAGCCUGAUCCAGCCAUGCCGCGUGGGUGAAGAAGGCCUUCGGGUUGUAAAGCCCUUUUGUUGGGAAAGAAAAGCAGUCGGUUAAUACCCGAUUGUUCUGACGGUACCCAAAGAAUAAGCACCGGCUAACUUCGUGCCAGCAGCCGCGGUAA